UACGUAGGGUGCGAGCGUUGUCCGGAAUUAUUGGGCGUAAAGAGCUUGUAGGCGGUUUGUCGCGUCUGCCGUGAAAAUUCGAGGCUCAACCUCGAACUUGCGGUGGGUACGGGCAGACUAGAGUGUGGUAGGGGAGACUGGAAUUCCUGGUGUAGCGGUGAAAUGCGCAGAUAUCAGGAGGAACACCGGUGGCGAAGGCGGGUCUCUGGGCAGUAACUGACGCUGAGGAGCGAAAGCGUGGGGAGCGAACAGG
rnacentral:rRNA from 1 species